rnacentral:rRNA from 2 species
CAUUGAUAAGUUGAACGCAUAUUGCACGUCGUGGGAACCUACCAUGACGUACACAUACUUGAGC